rnacentral:rRNA from 1 species
AGAGCGAACGCUGGCGGCGUGCUUAACACAUGCAAGUCGAACGCGCAGCAUUCUGUAGCAAUACAGGGUGUGGGCGCGUGGCGAACGGGUGCGUAACACGUGGAUAACCUUCCUUGAGGUGGGAAUAACCCAGUGAAAAUUGGGCUAAUACCGCAUAACAUCGCGAUGGCACAUGCUGAUGCGAUCAAAGGCGCAAGUCGCCACAAGAGGGAUCCGCGGCCGAUUAGCUUGUUGGCGAGGUAAUGGCUCACCAAGGCAAUGAUCGGUA